rnacentral:snRNA from 1 species
AGAGCAAUCCAGCUGUGGAUUGCUAAGACAACCAUGGUCAUGAAGGUGUUUUUCCCAGGGUGGGGCUCAUCCAUUGCACUCCAGGUGUGCUGACCUUGCAAUUUCCCCAAAUGCAGGAAACUAAACUGCAUAAUAUUCUGGUAGUGGGGAAGUGUGUUCACGCUUCCCCC